GACGGAAGGUGCAAGCGUUGCUCGGAAUCACUGGGCGUAAAGGGCGCGUAGGCGGCCGAUCAAGUCAGGCGUGAAAUUCCCGGGCUCAACCUGGGGGCUGCGCUUGAUACUGAUUGGCUUGAAUGCGGGAGAGGAUAGUGGAAUUCCCAGUGUAGAGGUGAAAUUCGUAGAUAUUGGGAAGAACACCGGUGGCGAAGGCGGCUAUCUGGCCCGUAAUUGACGCUGAGGCGCGAAAGCGUGGGGAGCAAACAGG
rnacentral:rRNA from 1 species